UGUGGCGAGGCAGCCUUAAGGGGAAACGAUUCCAAUCUCGUUAGUGCGCUUGGUCGGAAGGGAGCCAGGCAAUUGGGCCCGCAAACAACCAGAAAAUUUGAUUAGGAAGUCAUGGACUCGUCAUAGGAGUUGGUCCAUCCAGUUAUACAUUGGACCCUUAUCUUCUGGGAUUCUACAGUGGGAAGGGAGAUGCUCUUUUAAAGCAGAAACAUGCUUUCCAGCGGCUGGCUUCUCUGAAUGGAGAAGGUAAACAGCCAGCAUGACAUAUCUCCAGCUGUUCCCAAGCUCUUGCAGUUGCUUCCUGGAAAAAAGGAGACACAAACUGUGUGUAGAGAUGGUCUCCUAAAGCCAGAGAUUGCAUGGAGUCAUCCCAGGGGGUCGGCACUGGUUCCUGCCUGACACUGCACAUCUUCACCUCACCCUCAAGUGAGAGUUGGUUUCCAGUUGUGUUAUUUGCUGUGUUUUCCACUGUGUUUCUCCACUAGUCCAAAUGAGGCUACCACAGGAAUUGGAAAGACAGAGCACCUCUUCUACAAGGGAAUUGGUUCAGCCUGGAAAAGUGGCUUAGGGGUGAUCUAUUUGCUGCCUCCAGUUCCUGAAGGGAACCCACAAGAAAGAGCGGGACGUUUUACAAGGGCAUGUGAUGACAGGACAAGAGGGAAUGGAUCCAAAGCAAGCGUGGUUUUAGAUUAGGUAUUAGGAAAAAAUUCUUGACUGUGAGGGUGGUGAGGCACUGGAGCAGGUUGUCCAGAGAAGUGAAUGUCCCAUCCCUUGAAGUGUUCCAAGCCAGGCUGCAGGGGCUCUAAGCAGCCUGGUCCAGUGAAAUGUAUCCCUGCCAAUGGCAGGGAUUGGAACUAGAGGAACCCUAAGGUCCCUUCCAACCCAAGCUAUUCUAGGAUUCUAUAAGAUUUCAGCAAAUAAAUCUGGGUUCAAAAUGCAGUGGAUUAAUAUUUCUCCACUGCAAGAGCUCACUGACUGGAAGAUUGUACCAACACAUCUGUGGCUCCAAAAGAUAAGAUCCGCAUUUUACAGGUUUACAUUCUGAUAAAUAGUAAAGCAGAAGUCAGUAUCUGCAUCAACAGUAUUGCCAUCACUUGCCAAAGACCUCUUUUUGCCUCCUGUUCACAAGCUCAUCUGAGGAUUAUUGUAAAUUAGGUUUUGAAGCCUAUCCCCUCCAAGAUAAGAUCGCUGGAGUCCUUCAUCAUAGUUAAGAGGGCCUCCUCUCAGUAGGUUACCAGGAGCCUGCAUGUGGCUGACUAAGGUUUGGCUGGUUGCUUGAGGAAAAUGUGCUGAGCUGGCUUGCUCAGCAACAGAGUAUCUAGAGAAAGAGAAAAACAGGUCCUGUCUGGAGAAGGACCAGUUCAAGGCUGGGGAAAGUAGAGUUAUAUCUCUAGGGGAAACAGGAGUAGAACUUGGGGAUCUUACCUAGCUCCAGUGCACUUCCCUGCACCUUCAAUACUUAAAAAAAUACCACAAAAGUGAGCUUCCUUUUAAUAAGCUGGUUUACAUCAUCUAAGUGCUAUGCUAUGUCAAUUCUAAUUAGAUCAGUGUGUACUGCAAAUGAGAGUCUUUCUACCUAGUCCCAGUUGGAAGCAUAUCUAAAAAUCUUCAGAUGACAUUGUUACUUGUUUACAUCUUGCCUCCUUUUCCUGCAAGAGAUUUGAAAGUUUAACUUCUCAGUUUCAAUCAAAAGUGGCUGCAAAUGUGUAUUAUAAAAGCAGCAAACACAGGGAUUAUUUAAGAGCCUUUCAGCCAUAUGUGGGACACGUACAGGUGGUAGAAUCACUGGGGUAGAGAAUGGUAUCCCUACUGUGUGCAAAUAUUUUGUUGUAAUAAUAAAAUUUUUUCACUGCA